UACAGAGGGUGCAAGCGUUGUUCGGAAUUAUUGGGCGUAAAGGGAGUGUAGGCGGUGAGGAAAGUCUUCUGUGAAAUCUACGGGCUUAGCCUGUUAAAGUGCAGGGGAAACUACUUCGCUUGAGUGUCGGAGAGGAUGGCGGAAUUCCCGGUGUAGCGGUGAAAUGCUUAGAUAUGGCACAGAACACCAAUAGCGAAGGCAGCUCACGAAGGCGAAACUGACGCUGAGGCACGAAAGCGUGGGGAUCGAACAGG
rnacentral:rRNA from 1 species